UAUGUUGAUCAUUUAACAAGGCCCGUCAACCAUGCGACAUAGUAGUAUACUGUCAUUCAUACUCCUAAAUCCGUAAUUGUUUAGGUUGUUUAAUGACUAAUGGUGAAUUAGUUUCAUACUAAGAGGGAUAUAUAAUCUAGUUUGAAUUAAUUAUGCGGUUGAAUUCAUUGACUAAAACCAUGUCUUUUUAGCUUUUAAUGUUGUUAGUG
rnacentral:lncRNA from 1 species